AUUGCUUCUUGGACUUUUGGCUAAGAUCAAGUGUAGUAUCUGUUCUUAUCAGUUCGGUUGUAUCUUUUACAGAACAAAAAACUUACAUUUCAGUGGAUUUGGCUUUGUACAUUUGAUGUUAAACACAAGAACUCCACUUUACCUAAGCUUAGGAGUUGCUUCUCUAUUACAUAGGAAUUCAA